AGAGUUUGAUCAUGGCUCAGAUUGAACGCUGGCGGCAGGCCUAACACAUGCAAGUCGAACGGUAACAUUUCUAGCUUGCUAGAAGAUGACGAGUGGCGGACGGGUGAGUAAUACUUAGGAAUAUGCCUUUGUGUGGGGGAUAACCAUUGGAAACGAUGGCUAAUACCGCAUAACGUCUUUGGACCAAAGGGGGCCUUGGCUCCCGCGCAAAGAGUAGCCUAAGCGAGAUUAGCUUGUUGGUGAGGUAAAGGCUCACCAAGGCGACGAUCUCUAGCUGUUCUGAGAGGAAGAUCAGCCACACUGGAACUGAGACACGGUCCAGACUCCUACGGGAGGCAGCAGUGGGGAAUAUUGCACAAUGGGGGAAACCCUGAUGCAGCCAUGCCGCGUGUGUGAAGAAGGCCUUCGGGUUGUAAAGCACUUUCAGUUGUGAGGAAAGGUUAACGGUUAAUACCCGUUAGCUGUGACGUUAGCAACAGAAGAAGGACCGGCUAACUCCGUGCCAGCAGCCGCGGUAAUACGGAGGGUCCGAGCGUUAAUCGGAAUUACUGGGCGUAAAGCGCACGCAGGCGGUUUGUUAAGCUAGAUGUGAAAGCCCUGGGCUCAACCUGGGAAUUGCAUUUAGAACUGGCAGGCUAGAGUUUUGGAGAGGGGAGUGGAAUUCCAGGUGUAGCGGUGAAAUGCGUAGAUAUCUGGAGGAACAUCAGUGGCGAAGGCGACUCCCUGGUCAGUAACUGACGCUCAUGUGCGAAAGUGUGGGUAGCGAACAGGAUUAGAUACCCUGGUAGUCCACACCGUAAACGCUGUCUACUAGCUGUUUGUGGAUUUAAUCCGUGAGUAGCGAAGCUAACGCGAUAAGUAGACCGCCUGGGGAGUACGGCCGCAAGGUUAAAACUCAAAUGAAUUGACG
rnacentral:rRNA from 1 species